rnacentral:rRNA from 1 species
GAUGAACGCUGGCGGCGUGCCUAAUACAUGCAAGUCGAGCGAACGGACGAGAAGCUUGCUUCUCUGAUGUUAGCGGCGGACGGGUGAGUAACACGUGGAUAACCUACCUAUAAGACUGGGAUAACUUCGGGAAACCGGAGCUAAUACCGGAUGAUAUUUUGAACCGCAUGGUUCAAAAGUGAAAGACGGUCUUGCUGUCACUUAUAGAUGGAUCCGCGCUGCAUUAGCUAGUUGGUAAGGUAACGGCUUACCAAGGCAACGAUGCAUAGCCGACCUGAGAGGGUGAGCGGCCACGCUGGAACUGAGACACGGUCCAGACUCCUACGGGAGGCAGCAGUAGGGAAUCUUCCGCAAUGGGCGAAAGCCUGACGGAGCAACGCCGCGUGAGUGAUGAAGGUCUUCGGAUCGUAAAACUCUGUUAUUAGGGAAGAAAAUAUGUGUAAGUAACUGUGCACAUCUUGACGGUACCUAAGCAGAAAGCCACGGCUAACUACGUG